ensembl:lncRNA
AGUGGCCCAGUUAGACAUAUAUACAUUAUUUUUCUCAUAUUAUCUUCCAUCAUGUUCCAUCACACAUGACUGAAUAUAGUUCCCUGAUCUUGAAUUACAUAGAAAUCAUAAAUACAUUCUUAAUGCAGUAAUAAUUUUAAUACUACAUAGAAAACUAACUCUAAUAUAAUAAUUUUAAUACUAUGUAGAGAACUGAUUUUUUAAUAUUACAAAGAAAACUAACUUUAUUAAGAAUUUUAAUAGGAGUUCCUGCUGUGGUGCAGUGGGUUAAUGAUCCAGUGUUUUGAUGCUGCAACUGUGGCUUAGAUUCAGUCCCUAGCCCAGGAACUUCCAUGUGCCGUGGGGUUGAUCAUGAAAGGGAAGAAAGAAAAAAGUAGUUAAUACUUUUAAUACUACAGAGAAAACUAACUCUUGAUCCUCUGUGUUCCCUUCCUAGGGAAGACCGGUUAUCUGUUGUCUCUCCUUCUAGAUUCUUCUAAGUAUUUAUACUCACUAAUGUUUACUACAGAAAUACACAGUUUUACCUUAUAGGUGUUUACUUUUUUUUUUUCCUGCACCAGCGGUAUGCAAAGUUCCAGGACCAGGGGUCGAACCCGUGCCACAGUAGUGACAAUGCCAGGUCUUUAACCCACUGAGCCACCAGAGAACUCUAGUGUCUGCCUUUUUAGUGUAUAAGUACUAUUCUAUGCAUAGAACUUGUUUCUCUUCAUGGAACCAUGAGUUAAGAUUAUUAUCUCUCAUGUAUGCAUAAACCAGCAUACUUAAAUAUGUGUGUACUGGUGUGUAUAUGAAACUGAGGAAUGGGCUUCUUUCAGAAAAGUAGACAUAUCUUCAGUGUACAAUUCACAUUUCCAGCUGGCCAGCUCUGUCACAUACUAGCUCUGGGACACUGGGUGAGUAAACUUCUCUGAGCUUCCAUAUCCUCAUCUGUAAAACAGAGAUGAGGAACUCAUUGUAAUGAGGCAUAAAUGAGCUGGCAUCUUCAAGGUCCCUAGCACCUGUAAACUAUAUGUCUGUUAAGUAUUAAUAAGUGUCUGCGGCCACAGCCAAUGAGGUGCAGAGGUAGAUCUGGCCUCACAGGCCUUCAAGGCUGCUGGCGCUCCUUACACGCCAUCAUGAUCCUCUCUUGGGAGCAGAGGUGAACACCAACCCUCACACUUCCUAUGGGAAGCAGAGGCCCAGCAGAGAAGAGACGUGACAUUCUGCUAUGGAGGGAGGUGCUGUGACCCUUGUCUUCGCCCUUCCAAGGCUGUGCCUGGGCCAUCCCACAUGAUUGAACUCUCAGCCUUACCCUUUCUUACUUGCUGGGCUUCUCCAUUGCAAAGUAAAGGGGGGUAUAUGAAGUAUCCAGCCUUUCUCUUAUAGAGACAGGGGUCAGAGAAGAAGUAUCACCUGAUCCACCAUCCACACCUCCUUCCCCAGCCUUGACAGAAGAAUUCUGAUGGUUCCACCUUGAUGACACAUGUUUAUCUCUCCCCUCUUCUCCAUCCCACUGCCACUGCCGAACAAGCCUCAGCGGUCCCCUUGUCUUUCCUCUUAACCAAGGUCUGCUGAAUAUCCCUAAGCAUGGCUCUGCCUACUUCCUCUCUUCUAAGAACUCUCAUGGCUCUUGGUUUCCUGUAGACUUAAGUCUGAGUGAGUCUAAUAUUUCCACCCAGGCUUUCCAAGAGGACUUAAAAUGACAGUGAGUGGCAAGGUUGCUGGAAUUCCAUGAAAAAGUGACACCCUGAGCAGGUGCUGACUCUCUUCCUUAGAUAUCCCAACAGCUUUGAAGACAGCCCAUCCUGCUCAGCACUGAGCCAGUUCUGACCCCAGACCGAGAUCGUGAGCACCACCAGCAAGUGGGGUUUGGAGCCAACUUGGAUGUGCCCCCAUCAGAGUGGCAGACCAGACCUGUGCCCAGAGUGCCAGCAGCUCUGAUACACUGUCUUGAGCUGAGCCCCUGAUUCUCCCUGGGAGGCUGGAUUACCUCCAGUCUCACCAGACUGGAUGCCAUUCCAAGUCCAUCCUCAGCCUCUUAGAAAUCUCCCUCUGCCCUGUGGCUGAGCUGGCCCAGAUCUCGUUGUCCACUCCCCUUAGACGUGGCUCUCUGGCCUGUGGCCCCCAGCCCCUUCUACCUCCUCACCUCCAAACAGCUAGUCCAGGACUCUGUCCUGGGCAAUUCCUUACUUACCCCACAUUCAAGCUUCCCCAUUUUCAUCAGGCCCUUCUGCCCCCAUUUCCUCCAUAGGACCUUUUCUAUUUUUAUUUAUUGUCAUUUUUUAAUUUAUUGUCCUUUUUUUUUUCCCCCAGGGCCUCACCUGCAGCCUAUAGAUAUCGAGGUUCCCAGGCCAGGGGUUGAAUCUGAGCUGUGCCAGAUCCAAGCCACGUCUGCAAUCUAUACCACAGCUCUCAGCAACACCAGAUCUUUAACCCACUGAGCAAGGCCAGGGAUCAAACCCAUGUCCUCAUGGAUACUAGUUGGGUUUGUUAUUGCUGAGCCACAGCGGGAACUCCCCAUAUGCCUUUUUUUUUUUUUUUUUUUUUUUUUUUAUAGAGGAGGUGUUUGAGGUGAAGCAAUCUACACUUUCGGCUUUUUCCCACAACAGCUCCAUGACGUGAGUGUUCUCGCUUACAUUUUUUAAAAGAAGAAACUGAAGUUCAGAAACAUUCUCUUUCGGCAAAUCGUACAGCCAGAAUUUGAACCCUACAGACCCCCAAUCCCUUGCUCUUCCCUUACUCUGUGCUUGCUGGAGACAGUGAGAGUGACAUGACUGUCUUCCCACUUCCACCUGGGAUACAUCCAGCUUUCUGGAAGCUGCUGGGCCAUACUUUCUCCAGCUCUUUCUGUAUUUACCUGAACAGAAAAUGGAAAGAGCUUAGUUAAUAUCCAUUACAUUAAUGCAUGAGAUUUGCCACUAAUAAUGCCAUGUUAUCUCAGUGGAAACAUCUGGUUUAUAGAUCAUGCGGAAAGGUUUUAUCAGUCUCCACAUGAGCUUACUCAAAAAGCAAUAAUCUCCAAAGCCAUCCAUGCUUUGUGCUGAUGGCAUUUUAGGCAGAGCAAAGAUUUGAUGUUGCAAAUGGUGCUAUAAUUUGCAAACCAAGGGCUUCACUGGAAACCAUCAUCUCAGGAAAGAUGUUCUCUAGCAGAUUUGUUCUCCACUAAAAGGACUGACGUGCUGGAGGCACAAAGAAAGUUGGCCAAUGGAAGUGCUUCUGUAAUUGUGCUGGUUUCAAGUGAAUGUCACUGUGGAUGCUGGGAUUAGCCUGAGGGAUAGUGAGGAGGAUGGCAGUGGGGUUUUGAGGGGCUGGAAACAAGCAGGGAGUCUUUAUCAAGACAGCAAGAACCAGAUUGAGAAGAGUCUCAAGAUCAUGAAGAGAGACUGAGUACAAAAAUCCAGGAGGAAGAGUCGGACUAACUCCAAACAGAGGUGAGCCGUGGGCGGAGUGUGGGUAGAGACAGCUGUCAAAUGCAGACUACAGAGUAAAGGGGUCAAAGCCAAGGGCGUGUGGCAGCUCCAGCCAAGUGAGGAUGGAGCAGUGUUCCUGAAGGAACAUUAGCCAGCGUCUGUGACCCACGCUCAGGAGGUGAUCAGUGUAUCGGGAUGGUGGGGAGUAUAUCUUCAUGGGUGGUUCAGAUGAUGUGGAUAAAUGUCUUUGCUUCUUGACUAGACUGUAAAUCCCUUGGCAGCCGGAACCCCAUCGUGUUAAUUCCAUUCCCCUAUGCAUAGCACAGUGCUCAGCCCACAGUAAGUGAGCAACCAAGGUUUACUGAACAUGUAGGGCUGAGAGAAAGGCCUGAGGCUGAAUCAGGGGUCCUGGAGUUGACUUGAAACUCUGCUUCUGCAUAGCUGGGUAGCCUUGAGUACAUUACUUUACCUCUCUGAGCCCCAAUUUCUAAAUUAAAUGAAGAGGUUGGGGCAUAAAUGUAAUGCCUCUUUCAAGGUUAUAAAAUAGUCUGAGUCUGUGGUUACAUAAAUCAUUGAAUAACAGAGGCUGUUUUGACAGGGCUAUUGGCAUGCUUUCCAGCAAAGCAGUAUCAUUAUGGAAGGACUGCUGUACAAAUGAUUGUGAUGGCAAAUGAACGAGCACAUGGCCCUCUCCCUCGAGGAGGGCACAGGCAGGGGAAGAUGAGGAACAGGUAACUAAGGAAUUACAAUCCAGUGUCACAAACAGUAUCCCAGAGAUGGUGCUGUGGGACCAGAGAGGAAGUAGUUCCUUUCCUUGAGAUAGUCAGGGACGGCUUUGCAAAGGAGAUGCCAUUUGAGAUGGAUUUUAAAAAGAUGAACAUGAGUUCACCAGGUGGGGGAUGGAAGCCAAGGGGAGAGUCCAUCCAAACAUUAGAAAGUAUCCUGUAUUGAGUAGCAGAGGUCAGGAAAUUUAGGAUUUAUCAAUGGAGGGCCAGGGUCAGACUGAGAAAACAAUGCAUUUUUUUUUUUUUGGUAGAAAAGGGAGGGGAGAGGAGAGAAAAAGUUAUUUGAUACUGGGGAUACAUGUCUUUCUUAUCUACUUUGUUGCAUAAUAUUCAAGAGCUCAUAGAGAAAGCUGUGAAAGAGGCAGCAUGGCAAUGGAUUUCAGUUCUGGAGCAUUAAAGCCAAAGAAUGUGAGUUCCAGAAGAAACUUAGACGUCAUUAAAGCUAGUUUUUUAACGUGGAUAUUUCUUCUCUUCUCUUAUGCAUCCCUCCCCUGGUGUCCUCCUUUUCCUCCAUCCUCAUGUCUGAGAUUAGAAAUGGGAACUGGAAUUUAAAUCAUUUUUUGGUUCCAGCAGAAUGUGGAUUGGGAAGCAAAUGACAUGUGGACACUGUCACUUAAUAAGAUGAUAAAGUUGAGGUCUGAGUAAAGGAAAUUACUUUCUCGGAGUUCUCGUGGCUCCGGGGGUUUCGAACCUGACUAGUAUCCUCGAGGAUGCGAGUUAUAUCCCUGGCCUUGUUCAGUGAGUUAAGUAAGGAUCCAGUGUUGCAGUGAGCUGUGGUAUAGGUCGCAGAUGCGGCUCAGAUGCCACGUUGUUGUGGCUGUAGCAUAGCUGGCAGCUGCAGCUCCAAUUCUACCCCAGCCUAGGAACUUCCAUGUGCCGAGGGUGUAGCCCUAAAAAACAAACAGGAAAAGAAAAAAAAAAUAGGGAAUUACUUUCUCAAAUCUUCAGAACUCGUGAGAACCAGGGCUGGGAACAAAGCCCCAGUCCCUCUGCUUUCUUGGCUCAACUCCACAGUCUUUGGGACUUCUCCAAGCUCCGGUGAAAACCUCUGCAUGUCCCUUCAGCCUUCCUUGAAGCAGGGCACAGAGAUGGGCAGGAUGCCCCCAGGGUCCCCAGCCAUACCAUGUGUCAAUUUCCAGGCCAAUAGCUGGAAUCCUGCUCCAGAAAAAAACAAAAAACAAAAAACAAAAAA